UGCCAACUUUCUCCAUGGUGGUUCUUUUCCUGGUGACAGGUCAGAGCGGGAGGGAAAUAAGCCCAGACCAUAGAGAAACUGCUCAGGAAAACUUUCUAUUCAUGAUUCGGUCAGUUACAGAAGGCUUCCCUGUCAUAGCCCUGGGUGGGGAGGUGGCUUUGCCCCACUUCCUCUGUCCUCCUGCCUGGAGAGCAGGGGAUGAAGGUGCUGAGAUGCUCUUUUCUUAUGUGAGUCACUCCCUUGCGUGCCCCACAGGACAGCGUGGGAAGCAGUACACAGUGUUUGCAGCACCUCCACCAGCAGCUUCACCUCUGCUGGGCACAACCUCGCCCCUCCCUCUCAGCUCCUGCCAAAGGGGCCCAUCCAGCCCCCUCCCCAUUUCUCAUCUAUGAUGCUGGAGCCAGUACCCAGGAGGCACUCAUCUACCUGCACUGGUGGUUGCCCCAUCACCUACAAAUGAGCUGAUUUUCCUGCCAGAUCAGAUAUUGCUUUGUGCCUCCAUGCCUCCCUCUAGCUGGCCUCACUAGCACAUGCUGUCCCAGAUUCCCAGUGGAUGAAAGGCAGCCUUUGACGCAGUUUAGACUUAGUCAGGUCACUUCACAUUUAUUCAGUGCUAAGCAGUCUUCAUCUUUUCCUCUGUUAAUCUUCAGACUCUCUUCUUUGAGUCACUUUCACAGAAGCUCUAAAGGAGUUUUCUCUGCUUCACUCGGACAGGCUCCUUUUCUCCCACCUGAGCCCCUGUGUCUUGUAUCAUCAGACCAAGCACGUCCUGUGCUCGUUCCCUCACCUCCAUAGCAUUGCACCUCAGGCACUGGACUGUCAGUCACUUUGCCUAAAGCACAAGGCCCCAGCCUGUUUGAAACAGCUUCCUUCAGGAGGUCCCAAGAGGCCAUGCCUGUGAAAAGCUACAUUUCUUUGCUGUCACUGAGACUUCUAGGUUCCCAUGCCAGAGGAGAGCCACGAUGUCUCCUUCACUGCCCCUCUCACUUUUGAGGCAAGAAAUACACUGUGUAGCAGCAUACCAGGCUCUUUGUAAGACAAGUCCUCUGGACCCUCUGCCCUGCAGGAUGGACACUGGGGCAAGAAGAAGUUUUUCCUCCCUAUCUUCCAUUAGGCAUUGACCUGUGGAGCCCUCCCAGGCUUUGCUGAGAAGCCUGUGGCUCUUCUCAGAACAUCUGAGGUAGGGGUCUGUCCUGAGAAGUUGGGUACACUCAGGGAGUGAGGGUGUAAA